rnacentral:tRNA from 1 species
GCCUUAGUAACUUAAUUGGUAAAGUUUGUUCUUGGUAAGAACAAAGUUGAUGGUUCAAUUCCAUUCUAAGGCU